UGAAGCCAGACUUGUUGUUAUUUUUACAUUGUGCAUUGUAUUAAAACAGCAGGGAUCAGAGCUGGAUAUAGGAAAUAGGGGAUGGAUGGAAGACACAGGGACUGAACCCUGGAAUCAGAGCUGGAUAUAGGAAAGUAGGGAUGGAUGGAAGACACAGGGACUGAACCCUGGAAUCAGAGCUGGGUAUAGGAAAUAGGGGGAUGGAAGGAAGACACAGGGACUGAACCCUGGAAUCAGAGCUGGGUAUAGGAAAGUAGGGGGAUGGAUGGAAGACACAGGGACUGAACCCUGGAAUCAGAGCUGGAUAUAGGAAAGUAGGGGGAUGGAUGGAAGACACAGGG
ensembl:lncRNA